AUACUAAAGUAGUAAUAGUUAUAUGCUUGAAACUUAAAGAAUUUGGCGGUAUUUUAAUCUUUUCAGAGGAACCUGUUCUAUAAUCGAUAUUCCACGUUAAAUUUUACUAAAUUAUUUGUAUAUCGUUGUCGAAAGAAUAAAAUUUUCUAAUAUUAAGAUUUUAAUAGAUGUCAAAUCAAGGUGCAGUUUAUAGUUUAGAAGAAAUGGGUUACAAUAAAAUUAUUUAGGAUUUUGAUGAAGGUGGAUUUGAAAGUAAAUUAAUUUUAAUAAAUUUAAUUGAUUAUAGUUCUAAAAUAUGU
rnacentral:rRNA from 1 species